UGCUAAUCUUCCUGAGCUGCUUGUUUGUUUUUGAAUGCUCAUUAGGCGUGUUGUUAUUGUUGUGCAGGUUCGAGGCCGUGACUCGUUUUGCCGGGCUGAACCCGCUGCUCUACUACGAUGACAGCCACAUCGGCACCAUCACUCUUCUACAAGCAAGGAUUAAGAGUCGCUUGAAUUUCCCUCAUGUGUACUGAUGUUCCCUCCUAAUAUACAGCACCUUUUUGCUGUUUGGAGAUUUUGCCAGGGUGAAGGUUUGGAUACUGUUGGUGAAGGGCUUGAAAUUCUGAAAAACAUGGUAGCUGCUGAUAUAAAUUCGGUCGCUUUUUUCUAGUUGAACGAUGGUAGGAAUCACAUGAAUUUUACUCUUGUGGUGCUUCCGGCUUCCCUGCUCCGUUUGCUAUUUUGGUAUAUUCCAAGAUGCAUAAUUUGAGAUGAUUCCUGUAGAUUUUAUUUCAUGUGUUUCAUUUGAUGGUCAUUAUAAUUACCAAACUUGCUAGAUGCAGAUUAAUAUUGUGAAGUAUAUAUAGUCCAUUAAAAUCCUAAUAUUUUCUCGAAGCGAACCAGUUCGAAAAUGAUUGCUAUUCAUUGAAUCUUUGUGCUUGUGAUUUGACAUAAUUUAAUAUUGAUGCCUUUUUCUUGCUCCACUUUGUUUCUUGAUUUAGCUGAACUAGUACAUUUGUUGUUUCUUAAGGAAUAAUGUUAAUUGUCCCUGGUUUCUGUAUCAUGGAUUAUUUAGAUUACCAUGAUAAGUAUCUGUACUUAUGUAGGAUCAGAAUGCACAUACAUUUGUUUUUGGUUCCUUAUUUAGUUUGGUAUAUGUACUUGAGCAUCUCUGUGAGUAUAGGUGCAUGCACUGCUGGUAUGAUCCAAUCGUCGCAUGGUUCCGUUUGAUCCAAUCGUCGCGCGCUUCCGCGAUCAUGCUUGAACUGUUGUGUACAAUAUCGUCGCCUUAUUAUUUUGCAGUCCUUUCGAAAUAUCUGUAUUUGCUUUGCUUAUCAUGCUCUGUUUAUUUUGUCCGAGGAUAACGAGGAGGACUGAGCGACCGUAGUGGCCCCUUCUUCUUCGACUCCAUGUGUUUUAUGGGUUCGAGGCUGUGAUUCACUUUGCUGGAAAAUCAAUGGCGGCCCGUGCCCAGCAGCCCCCGCACGUCGGCGGUCCGGUCUGGGUAGGUCCGGCCGUACCGGCUCCGACGACGACGGCCUCCCUCGUCGGCAGGCUGCGCGGCGUGAGAUA